AUUUUUGCCGAAUUCCUUUUUAUUAAUUUUAAUUAAUUUUAUUUUAUUUUUUUUUUAUAUACUAAUUUUAUCAUUAUAACUAAUUUUUUAUUAUUAAAAAUUAUUUUUUUAUAUAAAUUUAAAUAUAAAUUUAAAUUUUAAAAUAAAUAAAAUUAUUUAUAAAAAAUUAUAAUUUAUAAAAAAUAUAAAUUUUAAAAUAUUUAAAUAAUUUAUUAAUAUUAUAAAAAUUUAAUUUAAAGCUUAUCCCUUAAAAUAUUUAAUUAAAUAUAUAAUUUUAUAUAACAAAUUUAAAAAAUUAUUAAAUUAAUUUAAAAUUAAAUUUUUUUCUAAAAAAACUAGAUAUUUUUAAAAACGAUUAACAUUUCAUUUCAAAUUAAUUAUUUAAAAUAAUUAUGCCACAUUAACUUUAAUAAUUAACUAUCUCUUUUAAAUUCGAGAUAUUUUUAUUUAAAAAUAUUUUAUUAAUAAACUCUGAUACACAAGAUACAAUAAAUUAAAUUUACUUAAAUAAUAAUCCAUAUUUAACUUUAUUUCAAAAUUCUUUCACAAUACUAUUAAACUAUAAAUUAAUAAAUUUUUUCUAAAAAAUACUUUAACCCCCAUUAAUUAUUUUUUAUAAUUAUUUUUAUUAUUUAUUUUAUUAUAUUAAUUUUCCCCCA
rnacentral:rRNA from 1 species